GACGUAGGGCGCGAGCGUUGUCCGGAUUUAUUGGGCGUAAAGAGCUCGUAGGCGGCUUGUCGCGUCGUCCGUGAAAACCCUGGGGCUCAACUCCGAGGCUUGCGGUCGAUACGGGCAGGCUCGAGUUCGGAUGAGGGGAGACGUGGGAAUUCCGUGGUGUAGCGGUGAAAUGCGCAGAUAUCAGGACGGAACACCGGUGGCGAAGGCGGGUCGCUGGGACGUAACUGACGCUGAGACGCGAAAGGCGUGGGGAGCAAACAGG
rnacentral:rRNA from 1 species